AGAGUCUUCUAUAUGAGUCACUACCUCGCGGGUGGGUUCCUCUUUCUUCUCGUUGCAUCGUCUUGUGGUGUGGAAGGUUCCUGGUAGAACUUAAACCGCAAUUAAGUGAAACAAUGUUUAACCUUUGUUUUUCAAAAUAUCACGUAGUCCAUGAAGGCUCGUAUGCAGGCUUGGGACCAGUAGUAUGGGCGCCGUGUAGGUGCUCAAUGGCAAUGGCGGGGUCCGUGGGGAAACUGCAUCCAAUAAAGGCUUCCAGAAGAGAGCAUGUGGUAACGAAACCCAAUUCAACGGCUAGACCUCCUAGACGCUGAUGACUGACAAUGCAGCCGCGCAGACGACUACGCUUGUUGUUUAGGGAUGGAGAAGCAGAUCACAUAUUCACCACCACCUCAAGACUUGGAUGUCUUACUCUACAUUCCUGGGACUGCUCCAUGGGUCAAACUGGAGUUGUAGCAGCACCCAGCUGGAUGACCACCACAGCCUAGUUCUACAUUCGCAUUGACUGCUCUGUGAGCUAAACUGGAAGAGGUAGCAAAACCUCCAGACUGCAGCUGGUGUAUUUUGAAUACUACACUGGUUGUACUAGGAAGGAGAAGCGGAUCCCAUAUUCACCACCUCGAGAGUUGUGUUGUCUUAUUCUACAUUGACUCUGAGCUAAAGUUGAAGAGGUAGCACAACCUCAAGACUGCAGUUGGUGGUGGUGUACUUUGCAGUCGCGCAGACGACUACGCUUGUUGUACAGGGUAGGAGAAGCAGAUCACAUAUUCACCACCACCUCAAGACUUGGACGUCUUACUCUACAUUCCUGGGACUGCUCCAUGGGUCACACUGGAGGUGUAGCAGCACCCAGCUGGAUGACCACCACAGCCUAGUUCUACAUUGACUCUGAGCUAAAGUUGAAGAGGUAGCACAACCUCAAGACUGCAGUUGGUGGUGGUGUAAUUUGGCUUUAUCAUCGCCGCUGAUACACAUGUCCUAGAAUGGCAGUUUGGUUCACAUCCUGGUAUCCUUUUACAGACAACACUUGUACCGGGAAGGAGAAGCAGAUCUCGUAUUCACCAGCACCUCAAGACUUGUGGUCUUGCUCUACCUUCUCAAGGACCGCCGCAUGAGUUGAACCGGGUCCAGGACUUCCGCUGGCUGUAGUUUAGAUCCGUGCUGAUGGGACUCCGACGACUAUGCUGGUUGUACAGGGAAGGAAAAGCGGAUCCCAUAAUCGCCACCUCAAGACUUGAUAUAUUACUAUACCUCAGAUUUCCCAUGGACUGCAUCAUGGGUCAAACUGGAGUUGUAGCGGCAACCAGCUGGGUGGCCACCAUGGCCCGAAGCCUAGUUCUAGAUAGCUGCAUGAUGUCUAACUGGGAGCAGGACUUCUAGUGGCUGUAGUUUGGCCCUGUGCGGUUGGACUCCGACGACGACACGUGUUGUACCUGGAAGGAGAAGCAGAUCCCAUAUUCGCCAACACCUCAAUACUUGACGUCUGACUACUGGCUGUAGUUUGGAUCAGUGCUGUUUGACUCUGCCUUGCAGACAUACGCUUGUACUUGGAAGGAGAGGCAGAUCCCAUAUUCACCACCUCAAGACUGGUGUUGGCUUACUAUAAUUAAACGCUGGGGGAGAACCAAGCAACACUUGGUUAUGGCAGUGUGGAAGAGCUCCAAGAUGGGCUGUUUGAAAGAAUUCACUGAGCAUGAUAAAGGGAACUGACAUAUUGUCAUCCCCUAUUAAUGAACGUACACAAU